rnacentral:rRNA from 1 species
CAAUAGCGUAUAUUAAAGUUGUUGCGGUUAAAAAAGCUCGUAGUUGGAUUUCUGUCGAAGACGGUCGGUCCGCUCUAUGAGCGUGUAUCUGAUUCGGCUUUGGCAUCCUCGUGGGGGACGUAACUGUGCUUGAUUGCAUGGUGCGGAAUUCACGACUUUUACUUUGAGGAAAUUAGAGUGUUCACGGCAGGCAAGCGCCUUGAAUAUAUUAGCAUGGAAUAAUACUAUAGGACCUUGGUUCUAUUUUGUUGGUUUCUAGAACUAAGGUAAUGAUUAAUAGGGAUAAUUGGGGGCAUUCGUAUUAACACGUCAGAGGUGAAAUUCUUGGAUUGUGUUACGACGAACUACUGCGAAAGCAUUUGCCAAGGAUGUUUUCAUUGAUCAAGAACGAAAGUGCGGGGAUCGAAGACGAUUAGAUACCG